GACGGAGGGUGCUAGCGUUGUUCGGAAUGACUGGGCGUAAAGGGCGCGUAGGCGGCUCGUGAAGUCGGGUGUGAAAUCUCCCGGCUCAACUGGGAGGGGACGGCCGAUACGGCUGGGCUUGAGCGAGGUAGGGGAGAGUGGAAUUCCUGGUGUAGCGGUGAAAUGCGCAGAUAUCAGGAGGAACACCAGCGGCGAAGGCGGCGCUCUGGGCCGGUACUGACACUGAGGAGCGAAAGCGUGGGUAGCAAACAGG
rnacentral:rRNA from 1 species